UACGGAGGGUGCGAGCGUUACUCGGAAUUACUGGGCGUAAAGCGCACGUAGGCGGUUUCGUAAGUCUGAUGUGAAAUCCCACGGCUCAAUCGUGGAAGUGCAUUGGAUACUGCGAGGCUGGAGUGCAGGAGGGGUGAGCGGAAUUCCUGGUGUAGAGGUGAAAUUCGUAGAUAUCAGGAGGAACAACAGCGGCGAAGGCGGCUCACUGGACUGUUACUGACGCUGAGGUGCGAAAGCGUGGGGAGCGAACAGG
rnacentral:rRNA from 1 species